GACGAACGCUGGCGGCGUGCUUAACACAUGCAAGUCGAACGGUGAAAGCGGAGCUUGCUCCGCUGGAUCAGUGGCGAACGGGUGAGUAACACGUGGGCAACCUGCCCUUCACUUCGGGAUAACUCAGGGAAACUGGGGCUCAUACCGGAUAUGACCUCUGCGGGCAUCCGCGGAGGUGGAAAGUUUUUCGGUGAAGGAUGGGCACGGGGCCGAUCAGCUUGUUGGUGAGGUAGUGGCUCACCAAGGCGACGACGGGUAGCCGGCCUGAGAGGGCGACCGGCCACACUGGGACUGAGACACGGCCCAGACUCCUACGGGAGGCAGCAGUGGGGAAUAUUGCGCAAUGGGCGAAAGCCUGACGCAGCAACGCCGCGUGCGGGAUGACGGCCUUCGGGUUGUAAACCGCUUUCAGCAGGGAAGAAGCUGCAAGGUGACGGUACCUGCAGAAGAAGCACCGGCUAACUACGUGCCAGCCGCCGCCGUAA
rnacentral:rRNA from 1 species